UACGGAGGGUGCAAGCGUUGUUCGGAAUCAUUGGGCGUAAAGCGCGUGUAGGCGGCCUGGUAAGUCGGGUGUGAAAUCCCGGGGCUCAACCCCGGAACUGCAUUCGAAACUGCCUCGCUAGAGUCCCGGAGAGGAAGGCGGAAUUCCCGGUGUAGAGGUGAAAUUCGUAGAUAUCGGGAGGAACACCAGCGGCGAAGGCGGCCUUCUGGACGGUGACUGACGCUGAGACGCGAAAGCGUGGGGAGCAAACAGG
rnacentral:rRNA from 1 species